AGACUGGAAACUCCUAGGUCCCCAGCACCUUUAUCAGAUAAAUUAGGAACGCUACCUCACUAACAGGUACAGAAAUCUCAAGGUAUUUUCGGGACCCUGAAAAAGGAGGAAUUCAUCUAGAUUUGAUCAGAUGCCCACUGACCUACAACCAGGGGAUUAUACAUACUGGAAAAGACAUAAUUUAAAGGACUAUCUCCAAACUGUAUGGAAGGAUCCUUAUCAGGGCCCCUGCACUGGACUGGCCUAUAGGGAGAAUUGCUGACCUCAAAAUCACCUUAAAACAACGCUCAAACAGAGAAGAAACUACACUCACACCAGGAUGAGAAAAAGACAACAUCAGAAGUAAACAGCCUACCAAAGAUCCUGGACCUGACUCAUCUGCUCAUUUAUAAUGUUUUCUUGACUUCUUGGACCUUUGCAUUACAAUAGGUUCACAUCAAGAUAAUGAUGAUGCAAAGAUUCCAGCCAUUUCUCAGAACAGAUCCUGCCAAAACAACAACAGAAGCAUUUGCAUUUCAGAAAAAAGGUCGCAGGCCAAUAACCAGAGACAAAUGGACCCAAUCACCCGGCUGCCUGACGCCAGCUGUGACUGUUUUGAAAUAAUGAAGGAAGAAGAAGAAUGCAAGACUUUCACUACUUUGAUCCUUAUCAUAUACCCGGGACUGUGAGCCCCGCAUAUAAAAUCUUCUCCGAUUCCCAAAGGAGGGAGGGACACAGUUAUUGAGGCGCUAGCCUGCUGCGUCUUCCCUUCUGUCUGGCAGAAAAAUAAAGCCA